rnacentral:rRNA from 1 species
UGGGGAAUAUUGGACAAUGGGCGAAAGCCUGAUCCAGCCAUGCCGCGUGUGUGAAGAAGGUCUUCGGAUUGUAAAGCACUUUAAGUUGGGAGGAAGGGCAGUAAGCGAAUACCUUGCUGUUUUGACGUUACCGACAGAAUAAGCACCGGCUAACUCUGUGCCAGCAGCCGCGGUAAUACAGAGGGUGCAAGCGUUAAUCGGAAUUACUGGGCGUAAAGCGCGCGUAGGUGGUUCGUUAAGUUGAAUGUGAAAGCCCCGGGCUCAACCUGGGAACUGCAUACAAAACUGGCGAGCUAGAGUAGGGCAGAGGGUGGUGGAAUUUCCUGUGUAGCGGAGAAAUGCGUAGAUAUAGGAAGGAACACCAGUGGCGAAGGCGACCACCUGGGCUCAUACUGACACUGAGGUGCGAAAGCGUGGGGAGCAAACAGG